rnacentral:rRNA from 1 species
AUAGGAAUCUACCUAGUAGUACGGAAUAAUUGUUGGAAACGACAACUAAUACCGUAUACGCCCUACGGGGGAAAAAUUUAUUGCUAUUAGAUGAGCCUAUAUUAGAUUAGCUAGUUGGUGGAGUAAUAGCCYACCAAGGCAAUGAUCUAUAGCUGAUCUGAGAGGAUGAUCAGCCACACUGGAACUGAGAUACGGUCCAGACUCCUACGGGAGGCAGCAGUGGGGAAUAUUGGACAAUGGGCGAAAGCCUGAUCCAGCCAUGCCGCAUGAGUGAAGAAGGCCUUUGGGUUGUAAAGCUCUUUUAGUGAGGAAGAUAAUGACGGUACUCACAGAAGAAGUCCUGGCUAACUCCGUGCCAGCAGCCGCGGUAAUACGGAGAGGGCUAGCGUUAUUCGGAAUUAUUGGGCGUAAAGGGCGCGUAGGCUGGUUAAUAAGUUAAAAGUGAAAUCCCGAGGCUUAACCUUGGAAUUGCUUUUAAAACUAUUAAUCUAGAGAUUGAAAGAGGAUAGAGGAAUUCCUGAUGUAGAGGUAAAAUUCGUAAAUAUUAGGAGGAACACCAGUGGCGAAGGCGUCUAUCUGGUUCAAAUCUGACGCUGAAGCGCGAAGGCGUGGGGAGCAAACAGGAUUAGAUACCCUGGUAGUCCACGCUGUAAACGAUGAAUGUUAAAUAUGGGAAGUUUACUUUCUGUAUUACAGCUAACGCGUUAAACAUUCCGCCUGGGGACUACGGUCGCAAGAUUAAAACUCAAAGGAAUUGACG